rnacentral:lncRNA from 1 species
CUAGGGACCUUUCACCUGCUUCUGCUACUGCAAAUGAUUGGACAUCCAUUUACAUUUCCUCUUCUUCAUGUGUGGAAGGAAACUUUUGUUCACUGUGCUUCAGGCUGCCCCUGGCCUGAAAGUGGGUCCUUGAAUUCCCCUUGUACCAUUCCAACUUGCCAAGGUGGUUAUGAGACCUGAGGGAGGUGUUUAGGCGUGGACUUUGGGCCAGGUGUGUAAAUCCAUUUGGUACCAACUUUGGGCCCCAAGGAUAAGGGCAUGUGUAGCUGCACCAGAAGAGAGGGGAACAGUGAAAACUAAAAUUUCACCCUCUGUGAUGAUCUUCACCACCACCAGUACCAACAAUGUUGUAAGUACAGAGGAUUCACCUACCCAGUCGUUUUUCCUCUCCAUCCGGGCCCUCUGCAAGAGUGAGCCAGUGCUCAGAGAUGGUGGAGGGUAUGGCUGGUGACUCAGUCUCAACUGUGUCUCAACUGUGUCCAAAGUGUCUAGGGAGAAGUCUGCUCACCGGUAGCUAUAUCCUCUCUGGGAAGGCACAGUGCCCUAAAGUGGUGAGGCUGUAGGCCUGUGGGAACUGGGGCCUCCUGCCCCUCUUUUUAUUUUUAUUUAAUACUCACAAACUUCUCUUCAUUCCCCCCCUUUUUUUCCCUUACAGUUUCUGAAAGAAGGACGGAAGUAACACCAAGAACUCCCAGAUGAAGAGGACCUUCCUGGAUCUGUAACUGGGAUUAACCAGUUCUUUACUGGGAGAGAAAGUUUCAACUAAUCCUCAGGAUAAAAGCAAACAGGCCUGUGACUGUCCCUUGAACACUGACAGUGUAAACAAGCUUCUGGCUCCUCCAGGUCAAGCAGAGCAACACUUUUCAUUAGAAUGUUGGGUUUCUUCUUUGUUAUUCAAACAUACACCCACACACAUCCCCUUGUCCCUCCCUAAUGAACAAACCUCAACAGAUGGAGAGCCUAGGCUCCCAAG